AAGGCGGAGGCUCUUUCCAUUGAGAGGUGAUGGGUGCGCUGAAAGUUCUGUUUUGACUAGGAUGACUUUCAAGGCUGCAUGGGGAUGCGUCCGUGUGAAUACACUGGGCAGGUAUUAUAGCAAUGAAUGUGGAGUUAAGUGUCGUGGCUUGAGCUGCAAACCAAGUUUGGAAGCCAUCACGGAGGGGGUGGUCUUUAAAACCAUGAAACUGUGUGAGCUGAUCUGGGAGGAGAGUGGCUGGGAUAGAGGAAAAGGAUGAAACUGUGUGAGCUGAUCCAGGAGGAGUGUGGCUGGGAUAGAGGAGAAGCAGAGCACCUGCAAAGGCCAAAGAGAAUGAGCCAAGGGCAAGAAAGAGACUUGUGGAGCCGGAGAGAGGGCAGCACUGGAGGUGGAGGCUGGGAGGAUCAGGGGAGUCACGGAAGGCGGUGAAUGGGACGCUGAAGCCGGGAGGGGUGGAGAUGAGCAUCUUUCUUGGGCUGUCAAGGAGUCCAGGGGUGAAGGUGCUGAACAUAUUGGGUCCCAGGGACAGCAGGGCCUGAAGGAGGGGAUAGACUGUGGCCGCUCCUGCCACACUCAGGAUCCAGGCUGCUCUGCUGGGACUCUGGGCCCAGGAGGCCACUAGGAUAGUCCUGGGUAGAUAGCUGGUUCUCUGGGAGCUGAGGAAGGGGUGGGAGCCAACAGGAAUGACAGAGUCUAGGUCAGGGAGGGCAGAGGCAGGACGCCUGGGGCCAGGUGUGCCAGAGUGCCUGGAGCAAAGCCGGACAGCGCCACUUCCUACUGGCGGACCUGUACCAAGUGGACAGCACCUCCCUCAACGUUGUCCUGAGGAAGAAAUUUGGCAAUGGAUUCAAACAUGCAGCGCUGGGCUCAACACACACAGAGUGAGGGCUAAUGGAUGCUGGAGGAAGACAGGAGUUCAAUGUGCACUCAUUUCACGCUGAUUUCUUCAGGUCCUGGUCUGUGAUGCAUGCUGGGGACACAGCCAAAAUCCAUCCCUGGCCCUGGCUUUUGGGUCUCAGCACCUGGAAGAGCAGG
rnacentral:lncRNA from 10 species